rnacentral:rRNA from 1 species
CCUACGGGAGGCAGCAGUAGGGAAUAUUGGACAAUGGACGCAAGUCUGAUCCAGCCAUGCCGCGUGCAGGAUGACAGCCCUCUGGGUUGUAAUCUGCUUUUAUAUGAGAAGAAACCUUCAGAUGCGUCUGAGGCUGACGGUAUCAUAUGAAUAAGGAUCGGCUAACUUCGUGCCAGCAGCCGCGGUAAGACGAAGGAUCCAAGCGUUGUCCGGAUUUACUGGGUUUAAAGGAUGCGUAGGCGGACACUUAAGCCAGUGGUGAAAUCCCAUAGCUCAACUAUGGAACUGCCAUUGGAACUGUGUGUCUUGAAUUCGGUUGAGGUAGAUGGAAUAUAACAUGUAGCGGUGAAAUGCUUAGAUAUGUUAUAGAACACCGAUUGCGAAGGCAGUCUACUAAGCCGACAUUGACGCUGAGGCAUGAAAGCGUGGGGAGCGAACAGGAUUAGAUACCCUGGUAGUCCACGCCCUAAACGUUGAUUACUCGCUGUUAGCGAUACACUGUUAGCGGCUAAGCGAAAGCGUUAAGUAAUCCACCUGGGAAGUACGACCGCAAGGUUGAAACUCAAAGGAAUUGACGG